rnacentral:lncRNA from 1 species
CUAGCUAACCACUUAAACUCAAACUCAACUCAAUCUAGGGUUCAACAACCCUCUACACUAUAUCUAGGGCCCUUUUUGACUUAGUGUUCCUCCUCUAUCCUCGGCAAUAUCCUAUCUCCCAACCACAAAGGCCAGAAGAAGGAACUUUCAACCGAACGCGGUCCACAGUACGUUCGGGUCACCGCGCGACAGACCCAGUACGUUCUGGCCACUGCCGGUUGUCACACGACGAUUGCGGCCCACAGUACGUUCGGGUCACUACCGGUCACUACCCCGUCGUGCAACCACUCAGCCAUAGGCCAUGAACCCGUCUCUCUUAGUGUUCUCGAUCCAGCGAAUAAGGGGUUUCCUUAAACCCGCUGGGUACGAGGUCGAGGAAACACUAAUCCACCUCAAACAUGCCUAGCAUUGUGGGUUACACAAAUGCUAUAUGGCCAAUACAUGACUAAUACUAAACCCGGUAAAAUAACACAAGGUUUCAAGUAGUAAUCACAACCCAAUCAAACACAUUCCAGAAUCUAGCAUAAAGACUAAUUCCAUAAUACCUAACUAUCCACAACUUGGAGAUAUCAUCUAAGCAUUCAGCAUUUGCUAACUAACCAAUCAACCUAACCAUUACCAUGCUACUACGGUUCUCAAGAAAUAACUAAGCAUGCUAUCAACUCAAUCAACCAAACCUCAACUAUUAACUAAUCAAAUUGUUACUCAGUUAGACCUAGAACCAAAAUUAUGUGAAUUUAUUUUUACAUCUUGAACAACAAAAGUUUCGCUCAAAAGUGACAUUAGGACAUUGUCCUCAGCCUCAUCGUCAAUGUUAUUUUCAUGUAUAUUUUAUUUAAUAAGAUAAUCAUCUUUGAAAACUGAAUUAUCAUUUUAUGUAUUCAGAAUAACUUACAAUAUGUUGAACUAAUUUAUUUAUGAUCUUUGAAAC